rnacentral:rRNA from 1 species
UGGGGAAUAUUGCACAAUGGGCGCAAGCCUGAUGCAGCCAUGCCGCGUGUAUGAAGAAGGCCUUCGGGUUGUAAAGUACUUUCAGCGGGGAGGAAGGGAGUAAAGUUAAUACCUUUGCUCAUUGACGUUACCCGCAGAAGAAGCACCGGCUAACUCCGUGCCAGCAGCCGCGGUAAUACGGAGGGUGCAAGCGUUAAUCGGAAUUACUGGGCGUAAAGCGCACGCAGGCGGUUUGUUAAGUCAGAUGUGAAAUCCCCGGGCUCAACCUGGGAACUGCAUCUGAUACUGGCAGGCUUGAGUCUCGUAGAGGGGCGUAGGAUUCCAGGUGUAGCGGUGAAAUGCGUAGCGAUCUGGAGGAAUACCAGUGGCGAAGGCGGCCCCCUGGACGAAGACUGACGCUCAGGUGCGAAAGCGUGGGGAGCAAACGGG